CCUACGGGAGGCAGCAGUGGGGAAUAUUGCACAAUGGGCGAAAGCCUGAUGCAGCAACGCCGCGUGAAGGAAGACGGUUUUCGGAUUGUAAACUUCUGUUCUUAGUGAAGAAUAAUGACGGUAACUAAGGAGCAAGCCACGGCUAACUACGUGCCAGCAGCCGCGGUAAUACGUAGGGGGCAAGCGUUAUCCGGAUUUACUGGGUGUAAAGGGAGCGUAGACGGUGAGACAAGUCUGAAGUGAAAGCCCGGGGCUCAACCCCGGGACUGCUUUGGAAACUGCCUGACUGGAGUGCUGGAGAGGCAAGCGGAAUUCCUAGUGUAGCGGUGAAAUGCGUAGAUAUUAGGAAGAACACCAGUGGCGAAGGCGGCUUGCUGGACAGUAACUGACGUUGAGGCUCGAAAGCGUGGGGAGCAAACAGGAUUAGAUACCCGAGUAGUC
rnacentral:rRNA from 1 species